rnacentral:rRNA from 1 species
UACGUAGGUGGCAAGCGUUGUUCGGAAUUAUUGGGCGUAAAGGGCGCGUAGGCGGUUUUGUAAGUCAGCUGUGAAAGCCCGGGGCUCAACCCCGGAGGGUCGGCUGAUACUGCAGGACUAGAGUACGGAAGAGGUAGCUGGAAUUCCCGGUGUAGCGGUGAAAUGCGCAGAUAUCGGGAGGAACACCCGUAGCGAAGGCGGCACUCUGGGCCGGUACUGACGCUGAGGAGCGAAAGCGUGGGGAGCAAACAGG